AAAUUGAAGAGUUUGAUCAUGGCUCAGAUUGAACGCUGGCGGCAGGCCUAACACAUGCAAGUCGGACGGUAGCACAGAGAGCUUGCUCUUGGGUGACGAGUGGCGGACGGGUGAGUAAUGUCUGGGGAUCUGCCCGAUAGAGGGGGAUAACCACUGGAAACGGUGGC
rnacentral:rRNA from 1 species